rnacentral:rRNA from 1 species
UACGGAGGGUGCAAGCGUUAUCCGGAUUUACUGGGGUUAAAGGGUGCGUAGGCGGGCCUUUAAGUCAGUGGUGAAAUCUCCCCGCUCAACGGGGAAACUGCCAUUGAUACUAUUGGUCUUGAAUUUAGUUGAGGUGGGCGGAAUGUGUCGUGUAGCGGUGAAAUGCUUAGAUAUGACACAGAACACCGAUUGCGAAGGCAGCUCGCUAAACUAAUAUUGACGCUGAGGCACGAAAGCGUGGGGAUCAAACAGG